GUACACGCUGUGACUAGCAUAUCAAUAAGCGGAGGAAAAGAAACUAACAAGGAUUCCCCUAGUAACGGCGAGUGAAGCGGGAAGAGCUCAAAUUUGAAAUCUUAAAGGGUUUCCCUUUACGAAUUGUAGUUUAAAGAAGUGUUUUCUGUUGAGGUUUUGGUAAAAGUUCUUUGGAAUAGGACAUCAUAGAGGGUGAGAAUCCCGUAUUUGACCUUUACUUUCAACUUUGUGAUACACUUUCAAAGAGUCGGAUUGUUUGGGGAUGCAGUCCAAAAUGGGUGGUAAAUUUCAUCUAAAGCUAAAUAUUGGCGAGAGACCGAUAGCGAACAAGUACCGUGAGGGAAAGAUGAAAAGAACUUUGAAAAGAGAGUUAAACAGUACGUGAAAUUGUCAAAAGGGAAGCGUUUGACACCAGUGUUGUUUUCCUGAAAAUCAAUUAAAGAACUGUUUAUGCUAAGUUGUUUAGACUUUAUCAGCUAUCCUGUUUAGUUUUGAGCUUUUCUUUAAUGCACUUUUCAGUUAACAAGUCAACAUCAAUUUCUUUUGCUGUAAAAAAGCUUGAGGAAGGUGGCUUGAGAUUCGUCUUAAGUGUUUAUAGCCUCUUGCCUAUGCAGUCGGAGAGAUUGAGGUCUGCAGCGUAGAUCCUUCGGGGCUAAAUGCAUUUGUGCUAAGUUAUAGCAUUUUAUAGACAACUUGUUGACUAUGAUUUGUCUUGUAGCUUACUCGCUUAUGUUAUUUUACCUACGCUUAGGAUGUUGACUGAUAUGUAGUCGU
rnacentral:rRNA from 1 species